CUAUCUACAGGCUUAACACAUGCAAGUCGAGGGGCAGCAUGGUCUUAGCUUGCUAAGACUGAUGGCGACCGGCGCACGGGUGAGUAACACGUAUCCAACCUGCCGUCUACUCUUGGACAGCCUUCUGAAAGGAAGAUUAAUACAAGAUGGCAUCAUGAGUCCGCAUGUUCACAUGAUUAAGGGUAUUCCGGUAGACGAUGGGGAUGCGUUCCAUUAGAUAGUAGGCGGGGUAACGGCCCACCUAGUCUUCGAUGGAUAGGGGUUCUGAGAGGAAGGUCCCCCACAUUGGAACUGAGACACGGUCCAAACUCCUACGGGAGGCAGCAGUGAGGAAUAUUGGUCAAUGGGCGAGAGCCUGAACCAGCCAAGUAGCGUGAAGGAUGACUGCCCUAUGGGUUGUAAACUUCUUUUAUAAAGGAAUAAAGUCGGGUAUGCAUACCCGUUUGCAUGUACUUUAUGAAUAAGGAUCGGCUAACUCCGUGCCAGCAGCCGCGGUAAUACGGAGGAUCCGAGCGUUAUCCGGAUUUAUUGGGUUUAAAGGGAGCGUAGAUGGAUGUUUAAGUCAGUUGUGAAAGUUUGCGGCUCAACCGUAAAAUUGCAGUUGAUACUGGAUAUCUUGAGUGCAGUUGAGGCAGGCGGAAUUCGUGGUGUAGCGGUGAAAUGCUUAGAUAUCACGAAGAACUCCGAUUGCGAAGGCGGCCUGCUAAGCUGCAACUGACAUUGAGGCUCGAAAGUGUGGGUAUCAAACAGGAUUAGAUACCCUGGUAGUCCACACGGUAAACGAUGAAUACUCGCUGUUUGCGAUAUACUGCAAGCGGCCAAGCGAAAGCGUUAAGUAUUCCACCUGGGGAGUACGCCGGCAACGGUGAAACUCAAAGGAAUUGACGGGGGCCCGCACAAGCGGAGGAACAUGUGGUUUAAUUCGAUGAUACGCGAGGAACCUUACCCGGGCUUAAAUUGCAGAUGAAUUACGGUGAAAGCCGUAAGCCGCAAGGCAUCUGUGAAGGUGCUGCAUGGUUGUCGUCAGCUCGUGCCGUGAGGUGUCGGCUUAAGUGCCAUAACGAGCGCAACCCUUGUUGUCAGUUACUAACAGGUUCCGCUGAGGACUCUGACAAGACUGCCAUCGUAAGAUGUGAGGAAGGUGGGGAUGACGUCAAAUCAGCACGGCCCUUACGUCCGGGGCUACACACGUGUUACAAUGGGGGGUACAGAGGGCCGCUACCACGCGAGUGGAUGCCAAUCCCCAAAACCUCUCUCAGUUCGGACUGGAGUCUGCAACCCGACUCCACGAAGCUGGAUUCGCUAGUAAUCGCGCAUCAGCCACGGCGCGGUGAAUACGUUCCCGGGCCUUGUACACACCGCCCGUCAAGCCAUGGGAGCCGGGGGUACCUGAAGUGCGUAACCGCGAGGAGCGCCCUAGGGUAAAACUGGUGACUG
rnacentral:rRNA from 1 species